rnacentral:rRNA from 1 species
AUAUCAAUAAGCGGAGGAAAAGAAACCAACAGGGAUUGCCUCAGUAACGGCGAGUGAAGCGGCAACAGCUCAAAUUUGAAAUCGGGUUUCAGCCCGAGUUGUAAUUUGCAGAGGAUGCAUAGGCUGAAGGCGACGCUCCAAGUCCCUUGGAACAGGGCGUCAUAGAGGGUGAGAACCCCGUUGGGGCGACCGCCACAGCCGUGUUAUGCGCCUUCAACGAGUCGAGUUGUUUGGGAAUGCAGCUCAAAAUGGGUGGUAAAUUUCAUCUAAAGCUAAAUACUGGCCAGAGACCGAUAGCGCACAAGUA